GUGAAUCAUCAAAUUUUUGAACGCAUAUUGCACUCUCUGGUAUUCCGGAGAGUAUGCCUAUUUGAGGGUCAUUUGAAAUAAUAUAAAUUCCAAGAUUUCUCGGAAUUUAAAAUGUGUUGUCCAUUUUUUGUGGUUUCCUAAAAUCCAAGAUAAGCUCAUUUUCUUUGGUUUCGUGAUACUUUCAGUUACCUGUUGAUUUAACCAGGAAUCAUCGUGCGUGUUUUGGAUUUUGCAAUAGAUAAAAAAUUCCAUAGAUUUAUAUCAUGUGAAUUAGA
rnacentral:misc_RNA from 1 species